UACGUAGGUGGCAAGCGUUGUCCGGAAUUAUUGGGCGUAAAGGGCGCGUAGGCGGCGCGGGUAGUCAACGGUGAAAGCUUGGGGCUCAACCCCGAGUCGGCCGUCGAUACUCCCGCGCUCGAGCACUGUAGAGGCAGGUGGAAUUCCGGGUGUAGCGGUGGAAUGCGUAGAGAUCCGGAAGAACACCGGUGGCGAAGGCGGCCUGCUGGGCAGUAGCUGACGCUGAGGCGCGACAGCGUGGGGAGCAAACAGG
rnacentral:rRNA from 1 species